rnacentral:sRNA from 1 species
GAGCUGGGCAUCCAGGAAGAAGCAGCCUCAUUUGUUUUCUGGUGUCAUCGUAGGUGGCCACCUAUGGCUUUUGGGCUUCUCACCUGGGGCGGGUGGGUGCUGCACUACCCUCUCACCCUCCUUCCUCCGUGUGGACGACAGAGCCACAUCCAGCACCACGGACAGCUCCCGGGCGAUCCCAUGGGAGUAGAAGAGGUGUGAGCAGGUUGCCCAGCUGGUUAGCGGAAAUGCCAAGAUUCAGGCUCCUGAAUUUCAGCCUGGCCCUUUUUAUCUGUCUGAUACCUCCUUUAGGAGUCUCUCUGCCUGAGUUGGGUGGAGCGGGCCUGCUGCUGUUUGGGGGAGUGUGCAGGUUGCCCAUAUGCAAAAAAGGACAGGAUGCAUGACUGGGCAUGUGAGGUGUUCAGGAAAACCAGGAAAAGACCAAAAAGAAGAAUGUACUUCAUCCGGUUGGGCUGGAUUCCCUCUGAUAAGCCUUCCCAGUUGACUGAAAGAUGAGGCUAGGCUCUAGCAAGUUAAAGUCGAACCAGCUCCUUCAAGAAGCUUUGAGCAGAAUGAAGUGGGGAGGACCCAGCUUCUGGCCCAGGAAGUCCACUGUACCUGGAGCCAUCUGGGAUAAGACUUUGACCCAUGACUCCCAUAUCCACAACCUGUCCAUCCUGGCCCAUCCCAGUUUAUCCUGUAUCAUUUGAGCUGGGGUUCCCACAUCCUCUGAGAUGGAAGUCCCAUCUCAAGUCUUCAAUAAAGACUCUUGAAUAUUGAAUCACA